GGAUAAACAGUAGCGGAAGCAGCCUACCAAGACAACCAAAACACUCACGAGAGACUUGGCCACAAGUUUGACCAGAGCUGCUUUUCCCGUCCUGCAUGGAGCUGUGCUGCAGAAAUUUCUUCACCUUUCUUCAGCAACACAUCAGCCUCCAGGCAGAGGCUUCCUCUUGGCGGGAUUUCUUCACCUUCAAAAAGGCUCCCAAAUUGAUGAACUCAGAGCCCCACAACACAUGGGUGCUCUUCUGGAAGCUGACGGCCAUUCCCCGCCCCCGACUGGGCUGUACUCUUGUGCUUCCCAUUCUUCGUGGUGGAGAGCGUCUACACAGGAAACUUUCCUCAUGGGAAUCAUGAUGGUUUCUUACCACAGAACUCGAGUAGUUCAUGCUAACAUACACCCUCCCUUCCAGGACUCAGAGGCUUGAGAAAAUAAAGGAGUCAAAGGGCAAGUCUGUAC
ensembl:lincRNA